rnacentral:lncRNA from 12 species
CACAAAUCACUUAAUCAAAUCACAGCUUAACAAGAAUGUGGUUAUUAAUGAGAACUGGGCCUGAGUAUCUGGGUGAAUCAGGACCAUUAUAUCUUUUUUUUCCCCCCCAAGAGCUAAACAUUGUCAAGCUUUUGAGUUAGUGGCUGAGCUCUGCAUGCUUUUCUUCCCAGAAUUCUCAUCCCGCAGCAGAUUUCAGGAGAGGCAGCCAACAGGGCCUCUCCGUUGCCCUGACUGAAGGAUUUUACCAAAUCUUCCUUUAUGUCUUCACAGCUUUGGACAGAGACCAUUUCCACUCACUUUCCAAUCUAACUCUGCCCUUUGAUGUCUGUGCUUUGCUAUUUACCUUCUGCCUCCCUGGAAAACCUGAGCCUCCUGCGUGGAGGAUCUAUUUUGCACACCCCUGGCUGCCAAAAGUCCCAGGCCCUGUGGAUCCCACUCUCACGUCUGUGUAAUCCCCUCUUCGCCUCCGUCAAUGCCUUGCUUCAGGCUUCUGUCAUUUCUCACCUGGAUGUCACAGAGGCCUCAAAAUGGUCUUCCUCCUCCCUCUCUAAUCCUUGCUCCUCUCUGCUGUGUGUGCCUGCGCUGGUGCUCCUUUGUGCCAGACACCUGCUGAGACACCUUUAAAGGCUUCUUACAACUUUCAUGAUGAAUUGAUUGCAGACACCUUAACAUGCCUCCCCGGUCCCCACCAGAGAGAGGUCUUUUCUUGCCCUGGCUCCUGCAUUCUCACCCAGGGCCCCAUCCCUUGAGGCUUGCUCACUUUCACCGGCCCUCCUGCCAUGCCAGCCAUCCUCUCUUCUUUCCAUCACUUUCCCUGUCCCUGCCACCUGGCCAGCAUGUUCUUGGCUUCAGGGCUCGGCUCAGCAUCAGCUGCUCGGGAGGCCUUCCAGGUCUCCGUCCUUGGGCCCCAGGUGCUCCUCCUCCGUGGCCCACUCUUCCCUGAUGCCACUGCUCCCUUUCCUAUGACAUUCUUAUCUCCCCUGCUGGACCUUGAAGAACUAGGGGCCAGCAUCUUUCUCACCCUUGAAUUCCAGAGGAAGCAGAAGGCCUGGCAUGUAGGUGGUGCUGGAUAUAUGUGUGAAGACCCACUGCCCGAGGGAUGCUCAGAGGACUCCUUGCAUCUGGGACCCUGCUCCCUGCUCCUCAGCCUACAGAUCCCAGCAUCGCAGCAAAGUCAGUCACUCCCGCAAUCUCACUUACCAAGGGCCUAG